rnacentral:rRNA from 1 species
GAUGAACGCUGACAGAAUGCUUAACACAUGCAAGUCAACUGUGGCGGACGGGUGAGUAACGCGUAAAGAACUUGCCUCACAGAUAGGGACAACAUUUGGAAACGAAUGCUAAUACCUGAUACUGUGAGAGAGCUUUGCGUCCCAUUAGCUAGUUGGAGAGGUAACGGCUCACCAAGGCGAUGAUGGGUAGCCGGCCUGAGAGGGUGAUAGGCCACAAGGGGACUGGGACACGGCCCUUACUCCUACGGGAGGCAGCGGUGUGGAAUAGUGGACGAUGGACCAAAGUCUGAUCCAGCAAUUCGGUGUGCACGAUGAAGUUUUCGGGAUGAAAAGUGCUUUCAGUUGGGAAGCAGUACCAACAGAAGAAGUGACGGCUAAAUACGUGCCAGCCGCCGCGGUAAUAC